GGGCGGCUAGCUCAGCCGGUUAGAGCAUCCGGUUUACAUCCGGCAGGUCGCAGGUUCGAAUCCUGUGCCGCCCA
rnacentral:tRNA from 1 species